rnacentral:rRNA from 1 species
CCUACGGGAGGCAGCAGUGAGGAAUAUUGGUCAAUGGACGAGAGUCUGAACCAGCCAAGUAGCGUGAAGGAUGACUGCCCUAUGGGUUGUAAACUUCUUUUAUAUGGGAAUAAAAUGUUCCACGUGUGGGAUUUUGUAUGUACCAUAUGAAUAAGGAUCGGCUAACUCCGUGCCAGCAGCCGCGGUAAUACGGAGGAUCCGAGCGUUAUCCGGAUUUAUUGGGUUUAAAGGGAGCGUAGGUGGAUUAUUAAGUCAGUUGUGAAAGUUUGCGGCUCAACCGUAAAAUUGCAGUUGAAACUGGCAGUCUUGAGUACAGUUGAGGUAGGCGGAAUGCGUGGUGUAGCGGUGAAAUGCUUAGAUAUCACGAAGAACUCCGAUUGCGAAGGCAGUUCACUGAACUGCAACUGACACUGAGGCUCGAAAGUGUGGGUAUCAAACAGGAUUAGAUACCCUUGUAGUC